CUUAUUCAAACCUUCUUUUUUUUUUUUUUUUUCUUCCUUCUUUUUCUCCAUUCAUCGGAAGGCUGGAAGGAUUCUGAAUUGAGCUGCAGUACAGAGCUGCCUGCUGUUGGUCAGCCAACUGCAGCUGAAAUACGUGGUGGUGGCACAUCUGGAAAUGAACACAAAAAUGUGAAAGGAAGGUGCUCUACAUCUGCACUAACCCUUCUUUUAUAUAGGGCUUACCCUGAGUUUGUCCUGACCUACCUAGAGGAGCUAAAUGAAAGAGAGGAGGUGACCCAGACAGAAAACUGUAUUCACCAUGGGGCCUGGUCUGCAGCUCAUCAGGAGAUAGACAGCAGCUCAGCAGAAGAGGUCACAGUAUUAAGCCAGAGGCAGGUUCUGCAAAAAAAUGUCAGCAACCCCAAUCAGAAACAACUUUCAGGACCUUUGGACGCCCAUUUAAUGCCUGCAGAUCCCCUGGGGGAGACUACACAGCUGACAGUGGCACUGGUGAGGAAACUAGAAGAGAAACAUCCUAAGGCCUCAGCUCAAAGGUUUCCAAAUACACUUGGAACAUGUAGGAUCCAAAAUUCAGUACUCUGA
rnacentral:lncRNA from 1 species